rnacentral:lncRNA from 1 species
AUGGUAGCCAGGAUGGAGCGCUUGGAGGGCUGCAGGGGCCUGGAGCAUCUGCCACAGAAGAGACUAGCACGCCACACACGCCAGGGAGCGGGCCCUCUAUCGGCUGGCGGGGCGCCCCCACCGAGGGCCCCAGACUUUCCUGUGGUUGGCGUCCUAAAUGCAGAGCCUUUCAGGAGCAGAUGCACCCCCCGAGGGAGCUCCAGGGGCCAAGUCCUGAUUGGAGCUGAUGGCGGCAAAGGCCCACGGGCAUCGCUAAGUGCUCCUUGCAGGGACUUUGUUCUUCCUACGGUGCGGGUGGUCGGUCUCCAAGCAGUGCCGCGAAGGACUAGCACCAGGGCUGGGAGCAGCCCUCCAGUACCCGGAGGAGGUCUGCCAACCCUGGAAAGCUCCACGUGGACGUGGUCCCUAGUUCUCAGGCUGGGCUGGAACCAUAGGAUAAUUUGGAGGGUUCCCACUUAGGUGGUCGGUGGGGUGAAGUGGUCUUUACCGAUGCAAGGCCCUGGGUCCCUGGCUCCAAUGCCAUGACCCACAGCUGUCCUGCCAGCUCCCACCUGGACACCUUUUCCUCCAGACUCAUUCCCAGAAUGGUGGCUACAGUUUGUGCAGAUGCCAGGGCCCCUGGAACGCUCAGGGAUAGGGAUGGUCCAGGCCACCCAUGAGUAGGACAGGCUCCAGGGCUGACGUGUGGCCUUGAGACCCAGUGUGGCUGCAACCCCGGUCGUACCGCCCCGACAUGGGUGUAGACGUGCCAUGGCCAAGGGUCCAGGCACCUCCCCUCAACAGUCUGAGAGAGCAGUCCUCCCACCUCAGCAAGGGGGCCAUGCUUCCCUGGGGUUUCCCUAGACCUAGCUAAAGCCCCAUCUGUCCCGAGGCCACCCUGGCCAGACACCAUGGAUUCUGACAUUGCAACCCAUUCUGUUCCAGGAGGGAACUGGACCCACGCACUGUGUCUAUGGAAGCUAUUGGUGGAGGGAGUCUAGAAUUGGCUCUACCUAUGGACAGGUCCACACAAUCCC